UACGGGGGGGGCAAGCGUUGUUCGGAAUCACUGGGCGUAAAGCGCACGUAGGCGGCUCCUUAAGUCAGGGGUGAAAUCCUGGAGCUCAACUCCAGAACUGCCCUUGAUACUGAGGAGCUCGAGUCCGGAAGAGGUGAGUGGAACUGCGAGUGUAGAGGUGAAAUUCGUAGAUAUUCGCAAGAACACCAGUGGCGAAGGCGGCUCACUGGUCCGGUACUGACGCUGAGGUGCGAAAGCGUGGGGAGCAAACAGG
rnacentral:rRNA from 1 species